rnacentral:tRNA from 2 species
GGUAAAAUGACUGAGAGCCAAGUGGUGGACUGUAGUCCCACCAACAGAGGUUAAAGUCCUCUUUUUACCA